CAACAUGGCAUCCACUGUACAUUUAGAGAUCGUCGGUCUUUUAAAUAAACAUAAUUUUCAAAUAGCCAAAAGCAUUGCCGAGGGACUGAAAAAUAAAUUCUCGGAGUCAUUUGAUGAUCCAACAAUUCGCCCGUUGCUGGAAUGUGACUGGCAUGACUAUUUAUCGAAUAAAAAGAGGGAGCUGAAAGGGGAGGUCUGGCAGUACAAUGGCUGUCUAAUGUCGUUCGCCAACGGUCAGUUGCUCGGAGAUGAGAGGAAACUGUCCAGCUGGGCAGAGAAAGAGUGGAAGUUUUCUUUCCAUCGACCACAGGCGCUUUAUAAAGCACUUGCUGAGGAGUAUUACACCAGCAACCUGCGUAGCACAGGGCAUAUUUUUGUUUAUAUGGAUAUUGAAAGCGGCGGAGAGGCAUUUGGCAGACUGUUGUUUGAGCUGUUCUCAGACCUGUGUCCAAAGACGUGUAGGAAUUUUAAGGCCUUGUGCACUGGAGAGGCAGGUUUGUCCAAGAGUAACCUUGAGUUGAGCUAUAAGGGCUCAGUUUUCCACAGAGUUGUUCCAAAUGGCUGGCUGCAGGGUGGAGAUAUUUCACCUGAAAGGAAAGGCACUGGUGGGGAGUCUAUCUAUGGCCCAACAUUUGAGGAUGAGAAUUUUGUUGUAUCCCACAUCAAGCGUGGCAUUCUGGGAAUGGCUAAUCAAGGUGCUCAUAGCAACGGCUCUCAGUUCUACAUCACACUACAGCCAGCCUUCUGGAUGGACCACAAAUAUGUGGCUUUUGGGUAAUGACUCACAAUAUACACCAGAAAGCCCAAGUUAUGAGAGCUUGUCUUGAUAUUUGGCUUUGCAUUAUGAAUGCAGACACUAUCCAAAAGAAAACUUGUUGAGGGCACAGAGGUUCUGAAGAGACUAGAGGCAGUGCCCACCUACAACGAGAGACCCAAACAGGACUGCAAAAUAUCUGCAUGUGGAGUAUUUGAGCCCUGAGUAAUCCCAUACCGACUAUAGAUCAAGACAGCAAUGCAAGAAGCAUUUUAAUAACCAUUUUUAUUAUAUGUAGAAAUAUUUUUGUGCUUUUCUAUGUAAAGUGAAAAAAUAAAGCCAAAAAAACCCUCAAUUUA